rnacentral:sRNA from 1 species
CCAGGUUAGUUGAUCUUAUGGUGUCAUCUAGAAAAACAAGAGAUGCAGAUUCUGGGUCACGAAGUUGAGGCUGUGAAGCUGGGCAGGGUUUCAGCUGAGCUGAGGUUGGAAGUCCCUGACCUUCAGCUGUGGCCGCCUACGGAGCAGCAGGGAGAGCAAACCCAUGGAGAACCCCGCGGCCCCCAAAUCAUGGACGGAGCUGCCAGCCUUCUCCCCUGCCCUUCUUCCUCUACCCCCGACCUGCCAGCCUUCUCCCCUGCCCUUCUGCCUCUACUCCCGACCUGCCAACCUUAGCCUAAAAUCAGAGCUGCUAGAAUCACACACACUGUCGUAACUGGUUUUGUAUUAUAAAUGAGUCAUUCUGUUAUUUUGGAAACUUACGUCUCAUGCCAGGAUCUGCAGAUAGUUCUUUUUCAAAAUA